CCCCCAGCCUCGCGCAUGCCCGUGCCGGGCCGCAGCGGCUCCUCGCGGGCCCUCAGCGGCGGGGCUGCGGCGAUGCCGGGCCGCGGGCGGCGGGGCCGGGGCCGCGCUGCGGGGCCGCAGCAGAGCCCGGCUCCAGCUCCGGCUCCGGCUCCGGCUCCGGCUCCGGCUCCCGGCUGUGCCCUCGGGCCCGCCCGCUUCUGCCCGCAGUGCGGCCGCGGCGUGGAGGCCGCCUUCAGGUUCUGCCCGGCCUGCGGGGAGCGGCAGCCGCCGGCCCCAGGGGAAGCAGCGGCGGCGGCCCCGGCACCGUGGCAGGCCCGGAGCCCCGCGGCCGGGCCCGGCUCCGGCUCCUCGUCCCCCUCGGGGGCCUCCCGGCCGCCCCCGCCCCGGUCCCCGUCCCUGUCCCCGGCGGCGAAGCGCGGCUCCUUCUCGCCCCGCAAGCCGCGGGCGGUGGCGGCGGUGCCGUUCCCGGAGGCCGAGGUGCUGGAGGAUCACGGCAAGAGGCGCUGGAGGCUGGGCCGGCUGCUGGAGCACGGCGGGCCCGGGCUGAUGUACGAAGCACAGUCAGCAUCUGGAGCCUGUCCUCAAAAGCAAAGAUUCUCCCUCAAACUUGAUGCCAAAGAUGGCAAGAUCUACAACGAACAGAACUUUUUCCAGCGAGCUGCAAAGAAAGACACAGUGGAUAAGUGGAAGAAGCUACACUCUUUGCCCCUGCUGGGAAUCCCCAAUUGUGUUGGCUUUGGACUGCAUGCAGAUAAAUACAGGUUUUUGGUGUUCUCAGACUUAGGGCGAACUCUUCACUCCAUCCUGAAUGAUGGCGUACGCCUGAAUGAGAAGGCAGCUUUUCAGAUCGUAGUCCGGCUGCUAGACUGCCUGGAGUACCUUCAUGAAAAUGAGUAUGUGCAUGGGGACAUCACGGCUGAGAACAUCUACGUGAACCCAGAAGACCUCACGCAGGUGACCCUAGCGGGCUACUGCUUUGCAUUCCGUUACUGCCCAGGAGGGAAGCACGUGGCUCAGCGCGAAGGCAGCAGGACCCCUCACGAAGGCACGAUAGAGUUUAUCAGUCUGGACAGCCACAGGGGAGCAGGACCAUCUCGACGGAGUGACUUGGAAUCUCUGGGCUACUGUCUCCUGAAAUGGCUCUGUGGCUUCUUGCCUUGGUCUCAUGAUCUGAAGAACGUGGAAGCUGUGGUGGAGAAGAAAGAAAAGUACAAAGCAGAUGUGACGUGCCUUCUCCGACAGUGCUUCAUGGGGCAGAGAGCAAUUCCAGGUGUGGGCUUGCUUUCCUGCGGGCUUCUUGUGGAGGGAGGAUUGACUGUACUUGAGAUGCCCUUCAGCGCUACCUGCAGCAAGUAAUGGCACUGGAGUAUGAGGAGAAGCCCAACUAUGAGUUCCUGCGGCAGCUCUUCAAAAAGCCACUGGAGAAGAUGAAAGCAUCAGCUUACGACUCCGUGGCCAUCACGAUAGUGCCCUAAAUCAAGGAAACUUGGACUGGAAAACAGAGUUCAAAGCUUUCUGCAGUGUGAGCCCCUUUUCAGAAGACAUUUAACUUUUACCUACCUGGUUUAGCGAAAGACUUUUUAAAGGCAUUUUCCUCUAAUUUUAAUGUAACGUGCUACUGAAUGCUGAGCCACUGCUGUAAGAAGCUACUGUGAAGAUGCUCCUGCGUGGCAAGUUAGUGUAAACAGCUGGAGAAGUGCACUCUAGCCACCAGGAGAAGGGCACAAAGAAACUAAAUCAGGGACUUUUUUAAGUGACAACAGUGGCAGUACGUUGUUUUAUAAUAAACUUUAGACAAGCACCUAA